CGUCGAGUGGCGGACGGGUGAGUAAUACUUAGGAAUCUGCCCAUUAGUGGGGGACAACUCGGGGAAACCCGAGCUAAUACCGCACACGCCCUACGGGGGAAAGCGGGGGAUCUUCGGACCUCGCGCUAGUGGAUGAGCCUAAGUCGGAUUAGCUUGUUGGUGAGGUAAAAGCUCACCAAGGCGACGAUCCGUAGCUGGUCUGAGAGGACGAUCAGCCACACUGGGACUGAGACACGGCCCAG
rnacentral:rRNA from 1 species